GGGGUGGUGGUGGUGGGGUGGGGGUGUGGGGGUGUGUGUCCCCCCCCCCCCAAACCCAGCUCAGGGUCCCCCUGUCCCCCGUGGCAGCGUGAGUCUCAAAGGGCUGAGCACCGAGGAGCUCGACUCCAGUGCGGAGCAGUUGGACAGGCUGGGGGGGUACCGGCGGGACCCCCGCAGAGCCCCCCUCCUCCACAGCAACGACGACCUGGAGUCCCUGAUGUCCCAGGAUGAGGAGGAGGAUGAGGCCGACGUGCAGCGGGCGCAGGAGGAUGCUCGGGCGCUGCCGGGGUUCGGCGCCGGCGGCCGCGGCCUCUCCAAAUCGGUGUCUCUCAGCGUCAUCGACAGCUUCCCCGACCCAGACGUUGCAGAAAUAAUCCCCUUCGCCUCCCAACUGAGCCUGGUCAAUGGCAGCAGCUUUUUGGGAGGCGCCAGGAGCUGGGGGCAGCUGGAGGGGGAGGAGGGGAACCACAAUUGGGAAGAGACCCCCCUGGGCAGGACCCUCAGCUUCAUCAGGAGGAUGACGGGGAAGACGAAGGUAAGGAAAGAACCGCGGACGUUCCCUUUCCCCCCC
rnacentral:lncRNA from 1 species